rnacentral:lncRNA from 1 species
GGACUGUGUCACACCGACAAAGACACGAGGCAGACAGGGAUGAGUUAGAGGAGCCAAAAACAGGUAGAAAGGAGGCAGACCGAAGGUGACUCAUUAUGUCAAGAAAGAGAUAGACUUUCCAACACAGAGUUUCUUGAUUGGUCAUUUUGUUCUUAUACAUUCACCAUUUUACCCGUGGUCUUCACCGGUAUCUUCAAAGUCUUUUUGGUUUUUUGGACUUGGUUUUUCUAACUUGGAGAACAGGGAUAAAGGAAGAACGCUUUGAACCACAGAUCAUUUCAACAGGUAAACAGAAUUUGAAUUGUGAAGACAACAUAAGUUUUCCUGGGAAUUGGAUAAUCAGAAAUCAAACAGAGGCAACCUGAAGCAACAGUGGAAUGGGAAGAUGAGACAUAAUCUCAACUGACAC